UUUUAGUUCUUAAAAAUUAUUUGCAAUGGUGGGCCACACUAUUUUUGACUCUUUCUGAUGAAAGCAGAGCCACAGAUCCUGUUUGAAUUGGGCAGUUCUGUUAGUCCAUUCUAAAUAAUUACUUAAGUUCCUUUGUUAGUUUCAAUUGUGUUUAUUGAGUUUAUGUAUGAAACUGCUGCACUUUUAUUUUCUUAUGCUCUGUGUUUGUUCCAGACACUCUGCACACCUUCUCUCCUCCUGGAGGACACUUGUCAGAGAUGAUGUUCCGGUCUGAUAUGUCAUUGUCUCAGCUGACAUUUUCCAUUUGCUCUGUAUCCUUUAAUCAAAACAUUUUUUCACCCCCAGACUUUGUCCUCGUGGUGAUCUCCAACAACUGUGGGAUGUUUCUUAGAAUGGUCUAAAGAAAACAGAAUGCAAGCCAGAAAACGGCGUCGGGAAGAGCAGUAACCACAUGUGAGAGGACGCCGUUUGGAUCACAGUGCAAAUAUUGCAGGGAGACCAGCUACUAUUUGAAGGGGGAGAUGACAUGAAGACCAACAGUGGGACAGAGAAGAUUAAGGAAAAAAACUCCUCCCUAUUCAAGAAAUUGCAGCUUUACUGCAUGACAUCAUAAGGGCAGCCAAAUGCUCCAGAACACCAGCGUUUCCAGGAAGAUGGUCCCUGCCUGAUGUUAUAGAGAUGGAAGAGCGGAACUCUGAAAGAACUCCAAACCUGUGACUUCAUGAGUGAAGGGAAGAGAAUCCUGGAGCUGAGGGAUCCUUUCAUGUUCUCUUUUCAGUUGAAAAGUGACUGAAACAUUUUUAGUGCAGAAAUAAUGGAUGUGAAGAACUUAAAAGUGUAUAUGUGUUUGGAGGAGCAAUAAACAGUUUUGGCUGUUUGUUUCUUGAAAAAAAUGUCUUUUGUCUUUUUGCUGCAUUGCCACAGUCAUUUUAAUCUCUGAGAGCCUUUCAAAUGUGCCUGUGGGACCAUGGUUAGAUGUCUGGGAUAA